rnacentral:rRNA from 1 species
UACGUAGGAUGCAAGCGUUGUCCGGAUUUACUGGGCGUAAAGCGCGCGCAGGCGGCACCGCAAGUACGCAGUGAAAUCUCCAUGCUAAACGUGGAGGGUGCUGUGUAGACUGCGGAGCUAGAGGUCGGUAGAGGGGGGUGGAAUUGCUGGUGUAGCGGUGAAAUGCGUAGAGAUCAGCAGGAACACCCGUGGCGAAGGCGGCCCCCUGGGCCGUACCUGACGCUGAGGCGCGAAGGCUAGGGGAGCGAACGGG